AUUGAACGCUGGCGGCAGGCCUAACACAUGCAAGUCGAACGAGUGGCGGACGGGUGAGUAAUGUCUGGGCAACUGCCCGAUGGAGGGGGCUAACUACGGGAAACGGUAGCUAAUACCGCAUACCCUCGGCUCUGCCCAGAGGGGAUUAGCUAGUAGGUGGGGUAAGGGCUCACCUAGGCGACGAUCCCUAGCUGGUCUGCGAGGAUGACCAGCCACACUGGAACUGAGACACGGUCCAGACUCCUACGGGAGGCAGCAGUGGGGAAUAUUGCACAAUGGGCGCAAGCCUGAUGCAGCCAUGCCGCGUGUAUGAAGAAGGCCUUCGGGUUGUAAAGUACUUUCAGCGAGGAGGCGUUACUCGCAGAAGAAGCACCGGCUAACUCCGUGCCAGCAGCCGCGGUAAUUC
rnacentral:rRNA from 1 species